rnacentral:pre_miRNA from 1 species
AGAAAAACAAACCAUAGGUAUCCGUGUUCAAUGUUUGACGGUCCGUCUUAUGAAAUUAUUUUAUAAUUAAUAUUUUCAUUAUUGUUAGAUGAUAAAACAUGAUUAAUAAGACGAACGGUCAAACGUUGCACAUAAAAACCAGGGUUUAUCUUUUU